rnacentral:lncRNA from 1 species
AAACCAGAACAACAUAAAAGGAAAAGAAGUCAAUCCACAGACAGCAAAGGAGGGCCUCAGCACUUGCAUUUGAGAACUGGCUCUUCUACUCACCUCGCUCUGCAAGAGUUACUUAAAAAUACCCCACACCUCGCUCAUUUUGCUCAUCAUUGUUAAAAUGAGGAACUGUCUCCACUCUUGCUCCAAACCUGGUAACACUGCCAUUCCCUCUGUGCCACAUGUGAGGGACCCAGGCCCAGGAUUCUAGUCUAGGUACCUCACCCCCUGGAAACAGUGUUUGGCUCAGGGAUCGGCUCACGACGCAAACAGAACCAAGGAGAGUGCUUUUGAGUGGAAAAAAAAGGAGUGCCCCAAUAGGGCUGGUAAGCCCAAGGGCCGUCUGAACCUGGGGGUCUUCACCUUGGAGAAAGCCUGUCUGUUAUGCCUGAAGUCAUCUCAGAAGUGGUACCACAGAGGAGUUGACUAGCUUUGCUUAUGCUCUCAAGUUGAUCCAUACAGUGCCAGAUUAUACCCUAUCAUAAGAGAUAGGGUCCCCUGAACACAAGAAGUCAUCUCCCCUUCUGGGUAGGACUUUGCACCACAUUCUCUUCCCUCUGCCUGGAACAUACCUCCCAACUGCUUUACUCUCUUAAAUCUCACUCAUUACCAUCUAAAACCAUUUUCCUUUCUUAUUGCCUGUUUGCUGUCAUCUCCCACAGGACUGUGAACUCAAGAAAGCAGGAAGUAUGCCUCCCUUAUUCAUCACUGGGUCCCCAGUGCUUAGAACAGUGCCUGGCACAGAGACGGGGCUCUGUAAAGAUCUGCUGAAUGAACACUUUAUCCUCUUACUUCUUAUCCUUCAAGCCUCAGAUGUUCCCCCAGGAUGCCUUCUUCGUUUCCCCAGACUAGUUCAAGCUGCACCUCCGACGUGCUCCCACAGCCCCUGAGCUGCCUCCCUGCAGACGCCAUACCUGCCGUGGCUGCUUGUUUGCUGAGUAGCCUCUCCCACUGAACCCUGGGCAACUUGAGAUAAAUGAAGAUUCUGAGGCCAAAGGAGAAUUGCAGGGAAGAUAAAUCCUGAAAACUUUUCAAACAUUUCAGAAUGCACACUCCCUUUGAAGAGUAAAAAA